CACAUAGACAGUGGGAGAGAGCUCUCCUUUGCUUGCUAGGUUCUUUUUUAGCAAGCUGAGGCAGAGAAGUUCCCUGGACUGUGUUUUUUUCUUUUUCUUGGAACUGAUCAGCCCUGUUUUGGACUGAAAACCCAGACAGAAGCUCACACCAGUGGCAUAUUGGGGCCAGGACAUGGCAUUUUCCAGCAAAGGAGGGACUGGUAAGCGACUGAGUGAGCUGUGUUGCACCUUGUGAAAAGGAUUAUCUGAAUUUGUCAUCUCUUCUGAACAUCUCCACAAGAAGUACAAACACCUCUGCAUAGUAAUAUUUUGCAAGAGAAGAGUUUGAAUCAGAAGAUGGAUGUCAAGGACCUGUUGUAGUUCUAGAAGGAAGGCCUUUAAGCUAUAAGGGCCUGAGCUCUUUGUGAAGGUUCCGUAUGUGCAUGGAAUUCCAUACAGUGCUUGCCUAGCAUUACUAGGAUUUUUAGAAAGAGAGAAGAGUGGGAAGAAAUCAGACCAAGUUGUAAUGUGCCCUGUCAGCUACGCUUCACAAAAGGAUGGUCCAAAUAGGAUGUCUUCUGCUUCUUCAGUAAUCUAAUAAAAUUUUAAUGUACAAAUAUUUGGAAAAUACAACUUAGGUUUAAACUUUUGGACUGUUGUUUUUUUCUACAUUCAUUAAAUCCCAUAUAAUUCUUUUUCGUCACCCUUCUAUGUAAUUACUUAAUAAUUUCUUGCAGAAAUAUUUAAUUCAUAGCUUGCUCCUUCCUUCUACACAUCUCAAAACUGCUUGUCUGACCUUUCACUUUCUCAUGACACGUUACAGUGCAGUUCCAAAUCUCUUCUCCAAUUAAUCCGCACAGGGGCACAAGUAAAAUACAAAGUUGGGAAUUAGAUUGCAAUUUCUGUAUUAUUACUACUGAGCAAAGGCCAGCAGCCUCAUGUUUCUUGCAUUAGCUGGUCCCUGCUGUUUCACUUAAAAGCCAUUUGUUUGAAAUGAACAGGUUAUAGAAAUUAGACUCAGAAUUUUAAAUGUUUAGCUAAAAUAUAUACAGUGAUGAACUGCUUUGUUAAAAAGUAUCCUCCCACCGAAAAAAACCUCACU